AUUCUUGAGACAACGAGAAUCCUUUUGGAUCUUUAGAUUAAAAACCCUAAGCCCUAGGGGUCUUAACGAGGGGUUCUAGUUUUCCCCUUUCUAAUGAAUAUGGGUGAACUACAGCUUUUUACAAAGCCGGACACAUUUACACAAUGUGUUCAUAGUGAUUGGCACAAAUGGUAUCUAUAGUCAAUAGCAACAUUUAUAAUGACUGAAUUUAGGCUGUUCUAUAAGAUGUUAUUUUCCUGUACCUGUUUUCAGUUUAGACAUGUACUUUAUCGGUUAAG